UCAGGGUCUGUGAGACAGACGAGUAGCAGUCCUGUAAUACAUUUUGAACUCUAUCGCUGUGAUUUUUUAAACAGUAAUCUGUUUGGAGGUUUUAAAUGAUUCAACUACUGUAAACAGGGAAUUUUUUGCGACCAUUUUAUUAUUGCGAGUUUUGCGAACGAGACUCAAUCGCAAAAAUUUAAAACGCAAAAAUAAGUAUAAAUAAUACAUACAUACUUUAUUCAUUGCAACACGUCAUCAAAUGUUGAAAUAAUCAACCAGAACCACAAGUUACUCAAUAAGUUAAAAACACAAAUGAAAACACAAUACAUCACAAAUGACAGUGUAAACAGACCAAUUAGUGUCACUGUUACUCACAGUAAUCCUGCCUUCUUCCAACCUCGCUUGAUUGCGUCAGUGUCCUUUGCAAUUUUGUCCACACAGGAAACAAGCCAUCUUGCGUGAAUCUGUUUCAUGACUCUGGUCAACUUUCCGGCCAACUCAGAUGAACUAGCUUCGGAGAGAAGCUGUCUAUUGUUUGUAUUUCAAGAGAAAUAUACAGUAUACCACAUACGGUAAUAUACAAUGGACCGCGAGCAGUGUGCGCAAACCCCUCAUGGGGGAGUGACCAGGUCACAUGUCAGGCGUGCACUGGACAGCUGUUUCACUGGGGGCUAGUGAGGGAUGCGGGAGGCCGGCCAUACAUACAUGUACUCUUGGAGUUGUGGGACUGCAACUUCAUGCUGUUGUCUUAUAAGGCCAAGAGUAAGAUCACCAGGGCGACCACUGCACGUGAGGCAUGUGGGUUGUGGACGAGAUACUACAUGGCAUAGCUGUAUUACCUUAUAAAGAAUAGUAAUGAAUGUUAGAAAGAGAUAUAUCCAUCAAGUCCGGCGCGAGCUGGCAGUUGAGAUCUGGGAGCUGAACACGAAACAGCUAGUGAAGCUCCCAUGCACAAUAAAACGUUGUGGACCCGCA